CCUACGGGAGGCAGCAGUGAGGAAUAUUGGUCAAUGGACGAGAGUCUGAACCAGCCAAGUAGCGUGAAGGAUGACUGCCCUCUGGGUUGUAAACUUCUUUUAUAAAGGAAUAAAACGAGGCACGUGUGCCUUUUUGCAUGUACUUUAUGAAUAAGGAUCGGCUAACCCCGUGCCAGCAGCCGCGGUAAUACGGAGGAUCCGAGCGUUAUCCGUAUUUCGUGGGUGUAAAGGGAGCGUAGAUGGGUUGUUAAGUCAGUUGUGAAAGUUGGCGGCUCAACCGUAAAAGUGCAAUUGAUACUGGCAGUCUUGAGUACAGUAGAGGUAGGCGGAAUUCGUGGUGUAGCGGUGAAAUGCGUAGAUAUCACGAAGAACCCCGAUUGCGAAGGCAGCUUACUAAACUGUGACUGACAUUGAUGCUCGAAAGUGUGGGUAUCAAACAGGAUUAGAUACCCCAGUAGUC
rnacentral:rRNA from 1 species